AAAAACAAGAAGAAGAGAGUUAGAGCGAAAAUUUGGCGAGAAGCGGGAAAGGGUAAUUACUAAUGAUCGCAGAGGAUCGUUAUUAACCUUUCUGGUGGCGAGAGGCAUCAGGACGUAGCAGGACCAUUGUCCAUUCCGCUAGGUUCAUUACGGUGUUCCAGUAGGGAAUGAGGCGAUGGUCGGCUGGAUGAUGUAAAAAAGGGUAAAAGAGAAAUAAGAAAAGUGUCGGGGGUCAGAGGAGACCGAACGGCUACCGUGAAUGGCGCAGCCUGACCCAAGAGCUGCCGGGCAUCAAAAGGGCCUCAAAAGGACCGCUUCGAACCUCGGCCUGUCCGAAGCUCAUUUGUUUUCACCGGCGCAUGGAAAGAUCGAUCGACCGAUGUCUUAACCCUACACUCUCCACGGAAUCAUCCGCUUUCGAUAAGAAAAAUUCUGAGGCAUUAAUUAGAUCGGCCGGUAAUAGAGUCAUGAUGGAAAACUGAUUGCCUGCGUCGAAGUUAUGGCAAUUUACUUACCUAUCAACUAUCUUCUCUGCAUUUCCUUCCAUUUUCUCCUUGGUAAUAUUUAACAUAGUUUUAUUAGCUCAUUUUUCUCAAAGGUUCAUUAUUUUUUUAUUUAUCACGUUAAGCUAGAUUAACUAUCUCUUAUAACAUUUUCAAUAUGACAUCCACAAUCAUGUAAGUCUUUGAUAUUUGUUAUAAAAUGGUGAAAAAUACGAUGAAAUUCAGAAUUGUUGUACAUACUGGUGACAGGAUCUCUAUAUAUAGAAUAGAAAAUUCCCAUGAGGUUUCUUGCGAUCGUCUUUCUUCUUCUUGAUAUCGAUUCGAUGGAUGAUCGUUAAUUUGAAUGGACGAAAUGAUCGGUAACAUUAGACUAGAUAAUUCGAUGAGCAAAACAAAAAGAAUAUAAAUUUAUAUUCUCCAUCGAAUCAUUGUAUCUUACGUUCUCACGGCAAAAACAUGGUAGAUUAUCUUACGUGAUUGGAGUGGAUGAAAAUUCCACGUAGACGGACGUGCGGGGUGGAAGUGUUGGGAAUUUUAGAAAAAUCGGAUGAGGAAGAGGUUACACGAGGGGAUACUAGGAUUGCAUUUACAAGGGGGAUUUGUACGGUAGUCGAGAAACGAAGUGAAAUUAUCGAUGCGAUUGCCACUGGAACAGACUCUCGGUUGAAGGGCCGACAAAGGGUCGAUCAGUGAUUCUCUCCAUCUCCUUUCAUCUCGUUCCUUUUUCGAAAGAUAACCCCACGGUGGCCACCUUUUUGUUUGCACAGUAAGAUUGCUUGCCUCUUGCUCGGAAAUUGACCGAAGAUUACGGCCGACCGACGUUUGCUCUGCGGCCACGGCCUUAACUUUGCGCUACCACAAAAAUAUCAUUGGCUUCCUCCUUUUCCCUUCCAACUUCUUUGUCUUCUUCUUUCUAUUAUUUUUUUCCUUCAGGUAUUGAUUUCUUUCAUGUUUUAUACAUAUAUGAAAAACCAAUCGAUCUUUUACCUUUUUUCUCACUCAAAAACUUGAAAUUUUAAAAUUCAAAUUACAAAUUAAUUUCCUUUAAAUAAAUGGUACGUAACAAGUUAUGAAAAAAUUAUUCUUAUAAUCUAUUAUUGUGUUGCAACGAAAAUUACAGUACACAAAUGUAAUAUUUCAUAUAUUCUAUACAUUAGUUGUAUAGAUAUUUAAACGUAUAUAGUUGCAUAAAAAAUUGCAAUCCAAUCAUUAUUCUUCAAAUUUUUUCCCAAAACGUAUCGACAUCUAUAAAAUCGUUCUUUUUAUUCUUGAUUUACAAAUAAAGUAAAGUAUCAUCUAUCGUUCGUCUGAGAAAUUAUACGACAAACAUUUUAACUGCGACGUAACCACAAAACUUCUCUUUCCCCGGUCAUACACUUCCCUUUCCUCCUUAUCCCGAAGAGAGAUGAUGUCUAAGCUUAUUAUCGAGACCCUCGAGACCUCUCUUUCUCUCCAUCUUGCAGGAUUUGAUCGAAGUUGAUGGAGCGAGCACGGAGCUAACCGCCCAGAGUAUUAUGUGUCGAAAAAUAUUCAAGAAAACCUCUUCGGCCAGUCCUUCGGAGGAGCAAUGACUUUUGUCCGCCACGAUACUGUCAGAAGUGAUUACCCGUAAUGGAUCAAGCUCUUUAAUGCUCUACCCACGUGCGCUAGAAGAAUUAUCCGUCCGAGAGGCAGCUAGAGCUUGUUUAAAGGGCGUUGUACGCCCGUUAUACGACGCGGUAACAAGCGCGAUUUCAGCUCACGGUGUACAAUUAAAAGUAACACGGCUCGAUGCGCGUUAACGCGAGCGAGUCGAAUCGUUUGAUCCUCCGUAGAAAAAUUGCGCGCUCUAUUCCGAGAGAAAGAGAAAGAUUUAUGACAUACGGUUCUAAAGAUCGUAAAUCAUUUGGUAUAUCGUAAACAGCCAAUAAGCCGAGAUCAAAGAGACAUUAAACUCUGGUCGAAGUUGGAGAAGUGGGGUUAGAACCGGUUAAUCGUUGAUAGAGGAGUGAUUAUUAAAUAGAAAAGAAAAAAAAAACAAGAAAAAAAAAAGAACAGAUUAUUCUUCUCCUAGAGAAAGCUAAUUAUGAGAGGCAUUAAUUAAGCACUAACGACGAAGGAUUAUUAACGAACAAAUCGGUUCUCCUUACAUGGGGACAAGGUUUUGAUCGACGAGCCACGAGUUUAGCCGAGGGCAACUUACGACGGCCAAUCGAUCUAUCGAUUGAGAUCGAUCGAAUUACCGGUAUGCACGAUCCUUUCCUCGUAUCGAUAUAUAUAUGUAUAUAUAUAUAUAUAUAUAUAUAUAUAUAUAUGUGUGUAUAUGUAAGGAUCGAUUGCAGAAUGAAAGAUUGUGAACUAAUACGGGUGACAGAAGGGAGUGUACAGACGCACGGGAAAGACGCGAUUGAAUUACCAUAAAACGCCAUGAUUAACGUAAAGUAAACGAAUAUAAUGCCGCAAUGACCGCAACCUGUUCUAUAGCAGUUAGAGUAUGUCCCCGCAAUGGUUUCCUGUAUCUCUACGUCCGACGCGAUGUCUUUCAUUUCUCUUUUAUCGUAUCGUUCUCUGUGAAAUUAUAAUUUCGUGUACGAAUAGAUUUAAAUUUAAUUGGUAGUGGAAUUUCAAGAUUAUCAUCUAUGAUGAGAAGUACGAUAAGACUUUAAAACUUCGCACGGUCAUUCAAUUAUUGGGUUCGUGUGUAAUAGGUUAGGUAAUAUGAACACUGUGAAUGCAGAAAUAAAUCAAUUUACAUAA